rnacentral:rRNA from 1 species
GGGGGAUCUUCGGGCCUCAUGCUUUUGGAGCGGCCGAUGUCUGAUUAGCUAGUUGGUGAGGUAAAGGCCCACCAAGGCGACGAUCAGUAGCUGGUCUGAGAGGACGACCAGCCACACUGGGACUGAGACACGGCCCAGACUCCUACGGGAGGCAGCAGUGGGGAAUUUUGGACAAUGGGCGCAAGCCUGAUCCAGCAAUGCCGCGUGAGUGAAGAAGGCCUUCGGGUUGUAAAGCUCUUUUGUCA